rnacentral:rRNA from 1 species
GAUGAACGCUGGCGGCGUGCCUAAUACAUGCAAGUCGAGCGAACGGACGAGAAGCUUGCUUUUCUGACGUUAGCGGCGGACGGGUGAGUAACACGUGGAUAACCUACCUAUAAGACUGGGAUAACUUCGGGAAACCGGAGCUAAUACCGGAUAAUAUUUUGAACCGCAUGGUUCAAUAGUGAAAGACGGUCUUGCUGUCACUUAUAGAUGGAUCCGCGCUGCAUUAGCUAGUUGGUAAGGUAACGGCUUACCAAGGCAACGAUGCGUAGCCGACCUGAGAGGGUGAUCGGCCACACUGGAACUGAGACACGGUCCAGACUCCUACGGGAGGCAGCAGUAGGGAAUCUUCCGCAAUGGGCGAAAGCCUGACGGAGCAACGCCGCGUGAGUGAUGAAGGUCUUCGGAUCGUAAAACUCUGUUAUUAGGGAAGAACAUAUGUGUAAGUAACUAUGCACAUCUUGACGGUACCUAAUCAGAAAGCCACGGCUAACUACGUG